AUACUUACCUGGCAGGGGAGACACCAUGAUCACGUAGGUGGUUUUCCCAGGGUGAGGCUCCGCCAUUGCACUUUGGGCUGUGCUGACCCCUGCGAUUUCCCCAAAUGCGGGAAACUCGACUGCAUAAUUUGUGGUAGUGGGGGACUGCGUUCGCGCUCUCCCCUG
rnacentral:snRNA from 1 species